AGUGAACGCUGGCGGUAGGCCUAACACAUGCAAGUCGAACGGCAGCACAGUAAGAGCUUGCUCUUACGGGUGGCGAGUGGCGGACGGGUGAGGAAUACAUCGGAAUCUACUUUUUCGUGGGGGAUAACGUAGGGAAACUUACGCUAAUACCGCAUACGACCUACGGGUGAAAGCAGUGGAUCUUCGGACCUUGCGCGAUUGAAUGAGCCGAUGUCGGAUUAGCUAGUUGGCGGGGUAAAGGCCCACCAAGGCGACGAUCCGUAGCUGGUCUGAGAGGAUGAUCAGCCACACUGGAACUGAGACACGGUCCAGACUCCUACGGGAGGCAGCAGUGGGGAAUAUUGGACAAUGGGCGCAAGCCUGAUCCAGCCAUACCGCGUGGGUGAAGAAGGCCUUCGGGUUGUAAAGCCCUUUUGUUGGGAAAGAAAAGCAGCAGGUUAAUACCCCGCUGUUCUGACGGUACCCAAAGAAUAAGCACCGGCCAACUUCGUG
rnacentral:rRNA from 1 species